rnacentral:lncRNA from 1 species
CCAGAGUUUGUCCUUGGUGGAUGGUCUGUAAGAUCCCAGCCCUUCUGCAUCUUCACCCUAAGGAGGCUGGGCUCUGACAGGUUACCUUGUCUCAAGGGAGCAGUGGGAGUCUCAAAGCAAGACAUUGACAUGGAAGGUUUGCAGGUGGCAGUGGCCGAGGUUUAGUCUCACACAACACAACAAAUGAGAAAGGAGUCUUUAAAAAGAGAAGAAAUCUUACAGUAAAUCAUUCUUUGUUGAUUUGAGUUCCACAAUCUCUGCCAGAAACUCUGGAACUUGAGUACUACCAGAAAGAAACAAAAUGUGGUGAGUCCUACAGUCUUUCUAUAUAUAAAAUCUGUAAUGCUUAGACACGCCACCCCAAGGUUCUGCUGGGUAAGGUUUCACUUGCUAUCUGUGGUCAACCAAUAUGCUACCAAGUAGUGAUUGUGCAUCAGUUAACAUAAUUAAAAGUUACAAGAAGUUUAAAUCGCUGAAAGGUAUAAACUUUAAAUAAAUUUUUGAUCCUUAAAAAUCA